GAUGAAGAACGUAGCGAAAUGCGAUAAGUAAUGUGAAUUGCAGAAUUCAGUGAAUCAUCGAAUCUUUGAACGCACCUUGCGCCCUUUGGCCAUUCCGAAGGGCAUGCCUGUUUGAGUAUCAUGAACACCUCAACUCUUUAUGGUUUUCCAUGAUGAGCUUGGACUCUGGGGGUUUUGCUGGCUCACAGUCGGCUCCUCUAAAAUGAAUCAGCUUACCAGUGUUUGGUGGGUAUCUUGGGUGUGAUAACUAUCUACGCUUGUGGUUUUUCCACCAGGUAACCUUCAGCAGUGGAGGUUCGCUGGAGCUCAUAGAUGUCUCUCCUCAGUGAGGACAGCCCUUUGAAUGUUUGAUCUCAAAUCAGGUAGGACUACCCGCUGAACUUAAGCAUAUCAAUAAGCGGAGGA
rnacentral:misc_RNA from 1 species